rnacentral:rRNA from 1 species
UACGAAGGGGGCGAGCGUUGUUCGGAAUUACUGGGCGUAAAGGGCGCGCAGGCGGUCGAUUAAGUCGAGUGUGAAAGCCCCCGGCUCAACUGGGGAGGGUCACUCGAUACUGAUCGACUUGAAGGCAGGAGAGGGAAGCGGAAUUCCCGGUGUAGUGGUGAAAUGCGUAGAUAUCUGGAGGAACACCGGUGGCGAAGGCGACAUCCUGGACCGGUAUUGACGCUGACGGCGCGAAAGCCAGGGGAGCAAAGCGGG